rnacentral:tRNA from 1 species
CAUUAAGAAGCUAUGCAACAGCACUAGCCUUUUAAGCUAGAGAAAGAGGACUAUCCGCUACCUCCUUAAUGA